rnacentral:lncRNA from 1 species
GGCUACUCACAGGUGUAAUCACAGCACACUACCACCUUGAACUCCUGGACUCAAGCAAUCUUUCCACCUCAGCCUCCCAAGUUGCUGGGACUACAAGUAUGCACCACCACACUGGGCUUCUUUUCAGAGUUUUUGACUUAAAGCCUGCUUUGUCUGAUGCCACUGUUGCCCCCAGUCGUCUCCUCACUCGCUCUGCAGCCACGUCCUCACUACUCACACAGAAGCCAGAGCCAAGCUGUAAAACGUCAAGCAGAUGCUGUGAGGCCCCCAGAGGCUUCCAUGGAUGUGAAAUAAAAUCCACACCUCUGGGGCCUGCCCUGCCGACCUCCCCACCCAGUCCAGCUGCUUUCCCCGUACACUGGCUGGGAUGCUGUUCCUUCACAUCCCAUCACCACAGUGGAUGACCUUCUAGAAGCUGGAAGUUAAGGAACAGUUGCCCCUGGAAAUGUAACCCUUUUCCACGGAUGUCAAGGAAGGGCCCACAGGAGCCCGUUACCAUGUCGGCCCUUUCUCUGGCUAACAAAGUCGCCAUCUCUGGGGAAACAAGGGCCAUCAGCAUGGACUCAGCUUCUGACAUGGCCUGGAUCAGAGUCAGGGAUCAGCAGGAGAUGUGGGAGAAGCCUGAGCUGUACCGAGACAAGACGUGGCACUGGGAGGGGCACAGUGCCCAGGACUCACCAGAAAGGAGCACAGGAAGAUGAAGGAGACGAAGUAGAAGUAGGCAAAGUCACUUCCACACUCGGUGGCAUUGGCCUGCUCAUCACAGGCCUGGUUGCUCAGGCAGGACAGCAUGAUCUCGUGCCAGGCCUCCCCCGUGGCGCUCCUGAGAAGAAGGGCAGAGUUGUGAGGCCCACAGAGGCCCUUGAGGGAGCCCGAGCCCUGUGGGGCUACCAAGCGUGCCCACUCCUUUGGGCUCCUUCCCACAGACAGCUCACACAUGUGCCAGGCCUGGGUCACAGAUGCUGUUUCUUCAAAGGAAACUUCUGGCACUAGAUUUCCAAACUGAGCAUUAAUUGGGAAACCACUGCUUACUAAAAAUUAUCUACGGCACCAGGGGCCAGCGCCAGGGCGAGCACUUCUUUGUGGACACCACAGGCCCCAGUUGUACUCCUGACCUCCUCCCAGACACACGCCAUCUUGGUCUUCAUUUCCAGAAAUGGUGACUCUCCUUCCAGCUGCUCCAACCAAAACUGUGGGGGUCAUCUUUGCCUCCUCUCUCUCUCCAUAUCCUGUUCAUCAGAUCAUCUGCCUUCAAAACACAGCCAGGCUCUCACCACUCCUCACUGUCCUAGGCCAAGCGACCAUGACCUGCCCUGUGCUAUGGAAGCUUCUGAGCCUAUCUUCUCACUCUGCCCUACACGGCAGGAAGCAGGUCCACUAAGCACAGGUCAGAUCACAUUCUUCCUCCUCUCAAAACCCUCCGAUGACUUGCCUCGCUCAUCAGAAAUGCCAAAAUCCACAUGACUGCCCAUAGCACUGUGGGACCUGCUGCCCACUCUUUCCCUGACUUCACCCCCAUCUCGGUUCCAGCUCAGUCCACUCCAAGCACCCUGGCCUCUGCUGGUCCUUGAACACCUCAAGAGCACCCUGCCCUGAGCAGCCACCCUGGAUGCUCCUGCACGGAGUCUGUUCCUGGACACAGCCAGCACCGGGGGCUUGCAGGGUACAAGUGGGUCAGAGGCCUGGGUCCCCACCUCCGUGUGUCUGUGUGCGCAGCCCCAGGCGUAAGCUGGGCCCACUCCUCACUGAUGACAGCCGGAGGCAGGGGGGUUCCUGCAGGGCUGCUGCUUCAACCUGUGCUGGGCCUGACUGAUAAGGGUGUUCCCAGGGAACACGAAGUUCAGGGAGAAACAGAAAGCUGUGAGACCAAAGGCCUCAAAACUAAGGCUGACUUCAUAGGUUUGCCUUAAGUCUUCCGCGGCAUGAGGCAGAAUAGUAAUAAAUGAUGAGAUAAAAUUAACGCAGCAGCUAAAGCCCAGCCAAACAACAUCAUCUGGGGACAGUGUCAGCCUAAGGGUGCUUGCUUAUGUUAUGCAAAGAAACAAGAGUCUAAGAGGUCUCUCCAGGCAGCUCAGCAAAGCAGGUCUGGGUCUGAGCUCGCCCCAGCGCGCAUCUGCAGGCAGGGUGGGCUGUACAGCAGCCCAGUGCAUUUGCACACAUGGACUGAAAUGGCAAAUCCCUAAAAGAGCUCCUUCCUUCUGUCCUAGGCUCGUGAGUGAUAAACUGUGGGAGACUCAGGAGGCAGGAAAACAUGUUCACCCACCUCCCUUCUGCUCCCAAGUUCACUCUCAAACCAGGAUGGCCCAUAGCUCCUGUUCCGCGCCCAGGAACAGCAGCUGAUGCUGAGGCCUCUCCUGGCACAUCUCCACCAGGAGAUCUCAGAAG